rnacentral:rRNA from 1 species
GAUGAACGCUAGCGGCAGGCCUAACACAUGCAAGUCGAGGGGUAGAGGAAGCUUGCUUCCUUGAGACCGGCGCACGGGUGCGUAACGCGUAUGCAAUCUGCCUUGUACUGAGGGAUAGCCCAGAGAAAUUUGGAUUAAUACCUCAUAGCAUUAUGAAAUCGCAUGGUUUUAUAAUUAAAGUUCCAACGGUACAAGAUGAGCAUGCGUACCAUUAGUUAUGUGGUAAGGUAACGGCUUACCAAGACGAUGAUGGGUAGGGGUCCUGAGAGGGAGAUCCGCCACACUGGUACUGAGACACGGACCAGACUCCUACGGGAGGCAGCAGUGAGGAAUAUUGGUCAAUGGACGCAAGUCUGAACCAGCCAUGCCGCGUGCAGGAUGAAGCAUCUAUGGUGUUUAAACUGCUUUUGUACGGGAAGAAACACUCCUACGUGUAGGAGCUUGACGGUACCGGAAGAAUAAGGAUCGGCUAACUCCGUGCCAGCCGCCGCCGUAACAC